rnacentral:misc_RNA from 1 species
CGGUUUUCUGGAAUUUACGGAUUUCUGGAAGCCCGGAUAAGCAGUCCGGCACACUGCUUCGUCGAAGUCCAUUAUCUCCUUAUCUCCCACUCCACUACAAGCCGGGUAGUGUCACUUCCGGUCCGACACUACUUCCGGCACAAUGUAUGUUGUUAGUUUGUCCAGCUGAACGUUUCUUCAGGAAUCGCUGGCACCCACCAACAAAUCUCGAUUAUUAUAUUCCACGAGGAUAAUCUAAGAGAAAAAAAUUAUAGUAAAUAAUAAUUUAAAGUCAGUUUAUUUUAAUUUAUGUAAAAAAAGUUUAUAAACUAUAAAACAAAUAUUUCUUUACGCGAUUUGGAUAAAAGUUGACAAGAUAUUUUUGGAGCAUCCAGUCAUCCAGCAUCAUGGGGCCAUCUUUUUCUAUGAUAAUCUCUGCCGUGUUCUUCUCCUAUAUUGCUUAUUCAUUAUGGGUAAUGGUUGAGAUAUUUUACCCUAAACCAUGUGAAGGACCACCAAAAUCCUGCCUCACCUCCUACUUGGUUGUCAGACCGAAACCCACAUUUGGGCUCAGACUUUACACAUCCACAAGAUACCUGGCUCCUAGUGAACAGGACUUAACCUUGGUCUGGGACUAUCACAAUUUUUCUUUAACAGAACCUACUAAUGGUGUUGUCAAUGUUACGCUUCCCUUGAAAACGAGAAGAAAUGGUACCCUUUACGGUCAUAUAUUUUUCUUCCUGCGAGGACGAGACCCAUUUCUUGAUAAACACACUGUUCACACCCAGGUACCUCUCACCAGCUAUUCACUGCCCGAAUCAAAAGUUGUUAAUCUUUUAACAGAUAAAACUCCAAAUGCCUCAGUUGAGCUCAAUCAGAAACCAGUUAGUCACUGGCGAUCAAAAAUCACGAUAAAUGUUGUUCAAGAAGACUUAUCUCUCAACAGGAACGCCAUACCUGGAGAGCUUUAUCGCUAUAUCAAAUUUUCACCUGAGGGAUUUUAUCUACCAAUUGUAUUCAUUGAUGAACUCAGUAACAGGUUGUCUGAUCUUCAGAUCAUUAACACUACAACUAGAACCAUGUCGCUGAAAGUGAGUUAUGCACCUAUCUCCAUUGGAAAAUUAAGACUUUGGACCAGUAUGAUGGAUUCUAUGAAGGCCAUGAAAACACUUGGUUUCAAAGAAAAAGAUGUCGAUGAACUGAAAGGCAUCUUCACCGAUACUAAUUUGGCUCUGUUGUUGUUGACAUUUGCUGUAUCUACACUUCAUUUGCUCUUUGAUUUCCUGGCCUUUAAGAAUGAUAUCAAUUUCUGGAGAGGCAAAAAAUCCAUGGAAGGUCUUUCAUCAAGAGGUGUUGUGUGGAGAUGUGUCUCAACAAUGAUCAUCUUCCUGUUUCUGUUGGACCAAGAAUCAAGUUUACUUGUACUUAUUCCGGCUGGGAUUGGAGCUUUCAUUGAGGUGUGGAAAGUUAAAAAAGCAUUCAAAUUGAAUAUAACAUGGUCUGGUUGGAAACCUUUCUUUGAAUUUGGAAAAGUAUCAGAUAAAGAAAAACAAACUAAUGAAUUUGAUUCUGAGGCUAUGAAGUAUUUGUCAUAUGUACUCUAUCCUCUAUGUAUAUGUGGUGCUAUAUAUUCCUUAAUAUACAUCCAAUAUAAAAGUUGGUAUUCCUGGUUUAUCAAUUCUCUAGUAAAUGGUGUUUAUUUGUUUGGCUUUCUCUUCAUGUUACCACAACUCUUUGUAAACUACAAGUUAAAAUCAGUGGCUCAUCUUCCAUGGAGAGCAUUUAUGUAUAAGGCCUUCAACACCUUCAUUGAUGACGUGUUUGCCUUUAUCAUUACAAUGCCAACAGCUCACAGACUCGCAUGUUUCAGAGACGAUGUUGUAUUUUUGAUUUAUCUUUACCAAAGAUGGUUAUAUCCUGUGGAUAAGACCAGAGUCAACGAAUAUGGUAUGUCUUAUGAAGAAGACAAAGUCAAAACUGAUUCAAAGAAGAAGAAGAAAGAUGAAUAAGAGAUGUUUAAGUGACUCUGAAAUAUUGUUGUUUGGUUCUGCCAGCCACAGGAAUUUUCCAAAACGAUGCACAAAAAACAAAACAAACAAAAAAAUCCACCCUUACCAAGAACACUUCUUCCCUGAUUUGUGUAUCGACUUAUAUGUUUGUUAUUGUCUGUAAUAAGUCUCCUCUUUAUUGCCCUUAUUUUCCCCUCUUCCUUGUGUCACAUUUUCUCUUUUACUCUCUCCCUCUUGGCCUCUGUAUCAUAUUAUCUCUUACUUUUCUCUCUCUCUCUCGAAAAUAUCUUUCUUAAGAAGCUGUACUUUAGUCGGUGCAGUGUUGCUGUCCUGCUUACAGAGAAAACAACGCAAAGGAGGGAACCCAUUCCUGGUAUUCAGAAUUUCGUGUUUUUUUGUCAUGUCUCCUACAUCAUCUUUUUCCUCCUUCUCCUCCUCCAUACGAGGCCAUUUCAAAUGUAAUUAUUGUCAGUCUCCUAUAUUUAUUUAUAUUUAUAUAUUUUUUUGUGUGUGUGUCUUCAAAACAACAGAAUUUGCUGUUUUUGCGAGACAUUCCAAAGACUAUCCACACUGUUGUUAUUGUUGUUUACCCCAGGUCAAACCUGAUUGAGCGUACCUACGAUCAUAGAUAUUCCAGCAGUAACCACCUUGUCUUUUUUGUAUAUCAAGGGCUACAUCAUUUAGCAGGUCAACCAAUCAUGUAGUGUCUCCCUCAUCGACUCAUUGUCUAACACAGUAUCACAAACUUUUGUAGAAGUAGCCAUGGCAAAUCAACCAAGAUUUUGAAAGUGAAAAAGCUAUGAUGCAUUCUCCUAAUGUGUGAUGUUUCAAUGAAGCAGACUUGUGUUUUGUAAUAAUACUUUUGGCUUAGAAUGUCAGAAGAUAUUGUGAACAGACUUUUAACCUAUGAAUUCAUUUAGUUCUUUUGAUUCAAUCAAUCAACGAACAUACAUUUGGGAUGAGGAAUGUCUGGGAUCGGAAAGUGAUAGAGUAUAAAUAUAUUGAUGAGUCUGGGUUAUUGGCAGAGAGUUGGUGGUGUGUGGGGAAAGAGGGACGGAGAAACUGCUAAUUAAGCUUAAAAAAUACAAGAGGCAUUUGAGGACAUAUUUGCUGACUUAAUAAAUUAAUCAAAUGUAUUUCAAUUAAGAAUUGUGCACAUGUUCUCGAUAUAAGCUUUCUUGUAAGAUUAUUCCAUGAAUCUACGUUCAGCUUUGAUGACUGCUCCAAUGCUGGACCAGAAUCAUUGACAUGCCUCAUUAAAUGGUCAUUAUUCAUUUUGAAAUCACCUGGACAAUGGCAGCCUUCAGGGAAUCUGUGGUGCUGUGAAGAUUUCGGUUAGUCUCCCUUCCAGCUAAUGCUCCAAAUAUAGUCAUCCAUAGGAUUUAAAUUUGAUGAAUUUGGAGGCCACAAGUUUGGUGAUACACAAUCAUUAUGUUUGCCUGGCAUAAUUUCUUGGGUUGUGUGGUCUUUGUGAGAAGGUGCUGAGUCGGAGUGAAACACAUAUGACCAUCCACUAUGUACUUCAUCCAUCCAGCAGCAUUGAUGCUAAGAGCCUGUGGAAAGCUGUGAGGUGACAUGACAUGACCUUUGUCACUGACCCCUCCUGAAACCAUCACAGUUGCUGGUAACUUAGUGUGCAUCACUCUUUGGGGCAUCUGUCAUUUCUCCUGUUGGACUUUUGAUCUUUGUUGAAGUAUUUCUUAUCAGAGAAGAACCGAAACAUGCCAUGUUUGUGAGAGUUUUUAACCAUGUUAAGUAACCUCUUGGCACAGAUUAACCCUUUCGUUACUAACCUGGUUGAAACCACCUCUGGCUCUGUGGUACAAAUAUCUUGUUUUCAUAAGUUUUGAAUUAAAAUUUUCCACUAAACCUUAGUCACAAUUUAUGUUCC